GAUGAAUGCUGGCGGCGUGCCUAACACAUGCAAGUCGAGCGGCAGCGCGAGUAGUUUACUACUUGGCGGCGAGCGGCGGACGGCUGAGUAACGCGUGGGAACGUGCCCCAAAGUGAGGAAUAACUGCCCGAAAGGGUGGCUAAUGCCGCAUAUGAUCUUCGGAUUAAAGGAUUUAUCCGCUUUGGGAGCGGCCCGCGUCGGAUUAGGUUGUUGGUGAGGUAAUGGCUCACCAAGCCGACGAUCCGUAGCUGGUCUGAGAGGAUGAUCAGCCAGACUGGGACUGAGACACGGCCCAGACUCCUACGGGAGGCAGCAGUGAGGAAUCUUCCACAAUGGGCGAAAGCCUGAUGGAGCAACGCCGCGUGAAGGAUGAAGGCCCUCGGGUUGUAAACUUCUUUUAUAAAUGAAGAAUAUGACGGUAACUUAUGAAUAAGCACCGGCUAACUACGUGCCAGCAGCCGCCGUAAGAC
rnacentral:rRNA from 1 species